rnacentral:misc_RNA from 1 species
GAACGCACCUUGCGCCCUCUGGUAUUCCGGAGGGCAUGCCUGUUUGAGUGUCAUUUUAACUUCUCAACCAUAUCGAAUUGUUUUUCGAGGUGGCUUGGACAUGGGGGUUUUUGCAGGCUUCAAUAAUGAAGUUGGCUCCUCUGAAACACAUUAGUGGUAUCUGAAGCAGAACUGCUACUAUUAGGUGUGAUAAUUAUCUAUGCCUCUUGGUAUACUGCAUGAACAGAUUGCGCUGCUUCCAACUUGUACACCCUUUGGUGUUUGACAAAUUUGACCUCAAAUCAGGUAGGACUACCCGCUGAACUUAAG